AACGCUGGCGGCAGGCUUAACACAUGCAAGUCGAGCGGGGAGAUGUAGCUUGCUACUUUUCCUAGCGGCGGACGGGUGAGUAAUGCUUAGGAAUCUGCCUAUUGGUGGGGGACAACAUUCCGAAAGGAAUGCUAAUACCGCAUACCCCCUACGGGGGAAAGCAGGGGAUCUUCGGACCUUGCGCCAAUAGAUGAGCCUAAGUCAUAUUAGCUAGUUGGUGGGGUAAAGGCCUACCAAGGCGACGAUCUGUAGCGGGUCUGAGAGGAUGAUCCGCCACACUGGGACUGAGACACGGCCCACACUCCUACGGGAGGCAGCAGUGGGGAAUAUUGGACAAUGGGCGAAAGCCUGAUCCAGCCAUGCCGCGUGUGUGAAGAAGGCCUUUUGGUUGUAAAGCACUUUAAGCGAGGAGGAGGCUACUUAUAUUAAUACUCUAGGAUAGUGGACGUUACACGCAGAAUAAGCACCGGCUAACUCUGUGCCAGCAGCCGCGGUAAUACAGAGGGUGCGAGCGUUAAUCGUAUUUACUGGGCGUAAAGCGUGCGUAGGCGGCUUUUUAAGUCGGAUGUGAAAUCCCUGAGCUUAACUUAGGAAUUGCAUUCGAUACUAGGAAGCUAGAGUAUGGGAGAGGAUGGUAGA
rnacentral:rRNA from 1 species